UACGUAGGGACCAAGCGUUGUUCGGAUUUACUGGGCGUAAAGGGCGCGUAGGCGGCUUAACAAGUCACUUGUGAAAUCUCCGGGCUUAACUCGGAACGGCCAAGUGAAACUGUCAAGCUAGAGUGCAGAAGGGGCAAUCGGAAGUUCUUGGAUGGUAGCGGUGAAAUGACGUAGAUAUCAAGAGGAACACCUGAGGUGAAGACGGGUUGCUGGGCUGACACUGACGCUGAGGCGCGAAAGCCAGGGAGCAAACGGG
rnacentral:rRNA from 1 species